rnacentral:tRNA from 2 species
GCCUGGCUAGCUCAAUCGGUAGAGCGUGAGACUCUUAUUCGAGAUCAUCUCAAGGCUGUGGGUUCAAGCCCCACGUCGGGCU